UCAAACUUGGUCAUUUAGAGGAAGUAAAAGUCGUAACAAGGUCUCCGUUGGUGAACCAGCGGAGGGAUCAUUACCGAGUGAAAACUCCCAACCCCAUGUGAACAUACCUUUUGUUGCUUCGGCGGGCUCGCCCCGGGCGCCUCUGGUGCCCCGGACCCAGGCGCCCGCCGGAGGACCUAAACUAUUGUCUUUAGUGGAAUUUUCUGAGUGGCUCUUGAGCAAAUAAAUCAAAACUUUCAACAAUGGAUCUCUUGGUUCUGGCAUCGAUGAAGAACGCAGC
rnacentral:misc_RNA from 1 species